rnacentral:ribozyme from 14 species
AAAAAUCUUGAACAAAAAAAAGAAAGAGUUGGGUGGUGAGGGACGAGCGAAGAGGGUAAGGAAGAGGAGGGUGCAAAUCUUGUGAUGUUUGUGUGCUUUCCAUUCUUUUUCUUCUUCUUUUCUUCUGAUUUGUG